GGUUAGAGCAUCUGACUGUUAAUCAGAGGGUCGCUGGUUCGAGCCCAGCAAGAGGAGCAA
rnacentral:tRNA from 1 species